AUUCCAGCUCCAAUAGCGUAUAUUAAAGUUGUUGCAGUUAAAAAGCUCGUAGUCGGAUUUUGGCAUCACGCCGAACUGUCUGCCGAUUGGUAAGUACGGUUUGGCGGGUGCUUCCUUCCGGAGGCUCGUUCCCUUCUUCAUUGAAGGGUUCGUUGGUUCCGGGUCUUUUACUUUGAGAAAAUUAGAGUGUUCAAAGCAGGCCUAUGCUCUGAAUAGGUUAGCAUGGAAUAAUAGAAUAGGACUUUGGUUCUAUUUUGUUGGUUUUCGGAAAUCGACUUAAUGAUUAAUAGGGAUAGUCGGGGGCAUUCGUAUUCAAACGACAGAGGUGAAAUUCUUGGAUUUGUUAAAGACGGACUACUGCGAAAGCAUCUGCCAUGGAUGUUUUCAUCG
rnacentral:rRNA from 1 species